CCUACGGGAGACAGCAGUGGGGAAUAUUGGACAAUGGGGGGAACCCUGAUCCAGCCAUGCCGCGGGUGUGAAGAAGGCCCUCGGGUUGUAAAGCACUUUCAGUGAGGAAGAACGCCUGGUGGUUAAUACCCAUCAGGAAAGACAUCACUCACAGAAGAAGCACCGGCUAACUCCGUGCCAGCAGCCGCGGUAAUACGGAGGGUGCGAGCGUUAAUCGGAAUUACUGGGCGUAAAGCGCGCGUAGGUGGCUUGAUAAGCCGGUUGUGAAAGCCCCGGGCUCAACCUGGGAACGGCAUCCGGAACUGUCAAGCUAGAGUGCAGGAGAGGAAGGUAGAAUUCCCGGUGUAGCGGUGAAAUGCGUAGAGAUCGGGAGGAAUACCAGUGGCGAAGGCGGCCUUCUGGACUGACACUGACACUGAGGUGCGAAAGCGUGGGUAGCAAACAGGAUUAGAUACCCGGGUAGUC
rnacentral:rRNA from 1 species